UUUGUGCCUAUUCUACCACAAUUAAGAGAGCACGACUCUUUCCAUUCCCAGAUUGAAUUUCACAAACAACACAGGUCUUCUCCUUGCCUUCUAUUUCUGAAACGAAGAGUCUUUCUCCUUGCCUUUUGUUUCUGAAACGAAGCCCUAUUUGUGUGUUUUGUACCCACAGUGUAUAAAUCUCACAGCUCACUCUUUCAACAACAGGCACACUCAACCCAUAUGUUUGUUCUUCAUCUAUGUGUGUUUUGUACUCCUUUUUCUCUAUGUUCUGUUGCUAUUUGUAAUUCCAUUCACUUUUGUAUUUUUAUGUUGUCACUGAUGUGCUGCGAAUCCGGACAACAAGACUAGAACUGAAGGGUUCCGUUCUGUAUGGGUCUAUCAAUCAUUAAAGAAGUUACUGAAGCAUGAGGAUGUUUUAGGAUUCUACAAGUAAGUUUAGGAUUCUACAAGUGGUGAGGAAUAUAUAAUCACUUCGAGAUUUCAUUUUGGAUUUAUUGAUUCUAUGUAUAUUUGGUUUUAUGGCUGUAAAAUAUCUGGCUUUGGAUUUAUUGAUUCUAUGUAUGUGUCAUAUCGAUAUGGUAAUCCAAAUAUUUAUACUAGUAACAAUCAAAGUGGUUAUUCUUUUUCUAUUGAUGCAAGAGAUGAAGAGACGACUGUUUUCACCCUCCAUUACCAAGCGAACCAGCCAAAAAACUGGGUUUUGAAAGGGGCAACAUUAAACCAUUAUAGCUUAGGCACAAGCAAAUUGGAUCCAUGUUGGUCUUCAGCCCACCUUCUGAUAGCAGCCACAGAACUUUGAGUUGAGAACAUGGAAGCAAGAUCAAAAAGUUGAAGAAGAAAUAUGUUACAAGAAAUGUGAUCAAUAUAAGAAGAAAUGCUCCUAAUUUUAAGCAAAACAGAGCUAGCAGCAGCAAGGCAGAAUCAACAGCAGCAAGGCAAAGACACACUCCCACACAGCACCUGGGCAGCUAUUCAUAGCAGCUAAACUAAAGCAAACACAACACAAACCAGAAUUUAUAGACAUUAACAGCAGGCGGACACGGCACCUGGAUAGAUUUACACAGCAGAUCACAUGACACUCCAGUAGAAUGUAUAGACAGACCACCAGAGUUUAGCCUAACCAGUUCCAUAUUUGAGCAUGUCAUUAGAACUAAUGGAGAAAUACCUUCUGUUGAUGAAGCAACUUUAGACCAUCAAAGAUUAUUGGACAGCUGUGGGAUUUUUAUUUCAUAUAUAUAGUUUUUGAUGCUGGAGAUGUCUGUUCUUCUUCAGAUUGCAGUUAUAUGAGUUGGUGGAGUCUAUGGUUCAUGGAGAUGGAAAUUGUCAGGCUAGUUUCUUACUACACUGCACCUCAUGCUCUUGCGUGCCUCAAGUUCCAUGUAUUUGUGAUGUCUUUUGCAUGCCAUGUGAUUAGAGUUCCCUUUGUCUCUUGAUGAACAGAUACCGCAAAAGUCAAUAUCUUGAGUCGCACUAAUCAUUAUUUUUUGGUGGGAUGAUGUGGUUUUGCCUUCAGUUUGCUUUGUUUCCCCCUCUAGCUUUUUUUCUCUUUAUACGAGAUGGCGUACUUUAGUACUAUAAUUUUCAAUUAUUUUUUUGCUUUCCUUUGUCAUUUUCUUAUCUUCUAUCUACGUAACUCAUUUUUUGAUGUUUUUAAUCACACUUAAAAGAUGUGAUGAAAUCAUUUUUUAAUGACACUUAAAAGAUGUGAUUAAAAGACCCUUUUUAAUCACACUCCCAAAGAUCACACUUUAAUUUAGAAUAGAAUUUGUUAUCACCAUCCCAAAAAUAAGAAAUGGCUUUAAUUUUGUGAAUAGCUUGUAAGCUAUAUAGCCUUGACUGGCUUUAAUUAAUUUUGUGAAUUAAUUUGAGCAGGGUUUUUAAUAACAAUGAACUCAGUGGCAAGAUUCCUUCAACG